GGGUUGGUAGCUCAGGGGCAGAGCAGCGGCCUUUUAAGCCGUUGGUCGUGGGUUCGAUCCCCACCCAACCCACCA
rnacentral:tRNA from 1 species